GCUGGGUGUGGUGGCAUGUGCCUGUAAUCCCAGGGACUCAGGAGGCUGAGAUAGGAGGAUUGCAAAUUUGAGGUCAGCCUCAGCAACUUAGUAAGAGCCUGUCUCAA
rnacentral:sRNA from 1 species